AUUGAACGCUGGCGGCAUGCCUUACACAUGCAAGUCGAACGGCAGCACGGGAGCAAUCCUGGUGGCGAGUGGCGAACGGGUGAGUAAUACAUCGGAACGUGCCCAGUAGUGGGGGAUAGCCCGGCGAAAGCCGGAUUAAUACCGCAUACGACCUGAGGGUGAAAGCGGGGGAUCGCAAGACCUCGCGCUAUUGGAGCGGCCGAUGUCAGAUUAGCUAGUUGGUGGGGUAAAGGCCUACCAAGGCAACGAUCUGUAGUUGGUCUGAGAGGACGACCAGCCACACUGGGACUGAGACACGGCCCAGACUCCUACGGGAGGCGGCAGUGGGGAAUUUUGGACAAUGGGGGCAACCCUGAUCCAGCAAUGCCGCGUGCAGGAAGAAGGCCUUCGGGUUGUAAACUGCUUUUGUCAGGGAAGAAAUCUUCUGGGUUAAUACCUCGGGAGGAUGACGGUACCUGAAGAAUAAGCACCGGCUAACUACGUGCCAGCCGCCGCCGUAACAC
rnacentral:rRNA from 1 species